rnacentral:rRNA from 1 species
GGUGAAAGUGCGGGGCUCAACCCCNUAUGGCCCAUAGAAACUAGUAGACUUGAGUGCAGGAGAGGGCAAUGGAAUUCCAUGUGUAGCGGUAAAAUGCGUAGAUAUAUGGAGGAACACCAGUGGCGAAGGCGGUUGCCUGGCCUGUAACUGACGCUGAAGCACGAAAGCGUGGGGAGCAAAUAGGAUUAGAUACCCUAGUAGUCCACGCUGUAAACGAUGAAUACUAAGUGUUGGAGAAAUUCAGUGCUGCAGUUAACGCAAUAAGUAUUCCGCCUGGGGAGUAUGCACGCAAGUGUGAAACUCAAAGGAAUUGACGGGACCCCGCACAAGCGGUGGAUUAUGUUGUUUAAUUCGACGCAACGCGAAGAACCUUACCAGGCCUUGACAUACUCAGCAAAGCCCUAGAGAUAGGGUGGAGGUUAUCUGGGAUACAGGUGGUGCAUGGUUGUCGUCAGCUCGUGUCGUGAGAUGUUGGGUUAAGUCCCGCAACGAGCGCAACCCUUGUCUUUAGUUACCAUCAUUCAGUUGGGGACUCUAGAGAGACUGCCGGUGAUAAACCGGAGGAAGGUGGGGAUGACGUCAAAUCAUCAUGCCCCUUAUGGCCUGGGCUACAAACGUAAUACAAUGGCGUAUACAAAGGGAUGCGAAAGAGCGAUCUGGAGCAAAACUCAUAAAGUACGUCUCAGUUCAGAUUGGAGUCUGCAACUCGACUCCAUGAAGGCGGAAUCGCUAGUAAUCGCGGAUCAGCAUGCCGCGGUGAAUACGUUCUCGGGGUUUGUACACACCGCCCGUCAAACCAUGAGAGUUGGUAAUACCCGAAGCCGGUGGCCUAACCUAGCAAUAGGAGGGAGCCGUCGAAGGUAGGACCGAUGAUUAGGGUUAAGUCGUAACAAGGUAACC